rnacentral:rRNA from 1 species
AUUGAACGCUAGCGGGAGGCUUAACACAUGCAAGUCGAGGGGCAGCAUAGGGUAGCAAUACUCUGAUGGCGACCGGCAAACGGGUGAGUAACGCGUAUGCAACCUACCCUGUACAGGGGGAUAACCCGGAGAAAUUCGGACUAAUAUCCCGUAAUAAUAUCCGGAGGCAUCUUUGGAUAUUUAAAGUUCCGACGGUACGGGAUGGGCAUGCGUAACAUUAACUGGUUGGUAAGGUAACGGCUUACCAAGGCUAUGAUGUUUAGGGGUCCUGAGAGGGUGGUCCCCCACACUGGUACUGAGACACGGACCAGACUCCUACGGGAGGCAGCAGUGAGGAAUAUUGGUCAAUGGGCGCAAGCCUGAACCAGCCAUCCCGCGUGCAGGAAGACGGCCCUAUGGGUUGUAAACUGCUUUUCCAGGGAGAGAAACUUACGCACGUGUUGCGUGACUGACGGUACCCUGGGAAUAAGCAUCGGCUAACUCCGUG